GAUGAACGCUGGCGGCGUGCCUAAUACAUGCAAGUCGAGCGAACUGAUUAGAAGCUUGCUUCUAUGACGUUAGCGGCGGACGGGUGAGUAACACGUGGGCAACCUGCCUGUAAGACUGGGAUAACUUCGGGAAACCGAAGCUAAUACCGGAUAGGAUCUUCUCCUUCAUGGGAGAUGAUUGAAAGAUGGUUUCGGCUAUCACUUACAGAUGGGCCCGCGGUGCAUUAGCUAGUUGGUGAGGUAACGGCUCACCGAGGCAACGAUGCAUAGCCGACCGGAGAGGGGGAUCGGCCAGACUGGGACGGAGACACGGCCCAGACUCCUGCGGGAGGGAGCAGUAGGGAAUCUUACGCAAUGGACGAAAGUCUGACGGAGCAACGCCUCGUGAGUGAUGAAGGCUUUCGGGUCGUAAAACUCUGUUGUUAGGGAAGAACAAGUACGAGAGUAACUGCUCGUACCUUGACGGUACCUAACCAGAAAGCCACGGUUAACUACGUGCCAGCCGCCGCGGUAA
rnacentral:rRNA from 1 species